rnacentral:miRNA from 1 species
GAGAGGCAGACACAUCUUUCUCUCUCUCUCUCUCUCUCUCUCUCUCUCUCUCUCUCUCUCUCUCACACACACACACACACACACACACACACACACACAGAGAGAUAGAGAUAGAGAUGGAGGGAGAGAGAGAGGGAGGGAGGGGGAGAGAGAGAGAAAUUGAGAUGUAUU